rnacentral:lncRNA from 1 species
CAAAGUUUGAGAACUGUUUCUUCAACUUCAUUGUUUAGAAGUCAUCACCAAUUCCUCAGUGAGGAGUGGCUAGAGACUAGUCUCUUUUAUUACCAGUUUUAUACAAUGUGGCUUUCCUCAUAGAAUGUGGAUUCUAUCUAGUUCUGUGAGCCUCUCUGGUUUUGUGAUUAAAGAACACAUCUGGGUAUUCUCAUGUGUAGGUACUUAGACAAAUGGGUCAUACCAGAUUUUAUGAGUCAAGAUUCUGAUGUUUCUCCAAGGGAAAAAACAGGUUAACUGACAACACGGCAGCAAAGAAGCGAGAGAGUAUGAGAGAAUGUCAGCAACAGAGACAAAGCUGGCAGGAUGGAGGAACUCAGCAGUGGUGUAUGGAAAGCAAUUCCAAGCCAUACACAGGCAAUGGAAGAUGAGAUAUCAGAGGGUCCUGCUUCCAAGUACCUCCCACUGGCCAGCCCUGUGCCCAACAUCUCCACCAUUAGGGCUUUGUCAUUUGGGUGAGUCUUCUGAAAAAGCAAACAUUCUCCCCAAAAUGGUGUUAUUAUCCAUGAACUCGUGGUGUUAUAAUUUUCGAAGUAUAUUCCAAAGACUCUUAAUAGGUAUUACCUUGAAGAGUUUAAUCAACCAAUUAGUUUCUGAAGUGCCUGGUAAAAGAAAUUAAACACAUUUUUUUACUGCAGAAUUUAUAAGAACCUUUAAGAUACAUCAUCAAUCUCAAAUGGAGGGUUAUACUGUGAAACACUUCCAAAAUUUAUUUGAAUACAAAGCCAUUUUAUCGUGUAACAUCUCAUGAGAACAUGGUGUAUGCUACAUGCUUUGUGUAACCCUGCGUGGUUGUGAAAUGAGUGGCUGUUGCCAACUGUCUGGACUUUAAGUGAAUGGGGUAUAGCAGGAAAAAUAUAUCAACAUGUGCAUAUUCACAGACCUCUCCCUCCACACCUGCUAAAGGAAAACUUGACUUUGCCAGUUUGGUUCCACCGCAUUUCUUGCCCCACCAAAUAGAGUUCUGUCUUGAUCACCAGUUUCAUGGUCUUUAUUAUACAUCACUGUAAAUGGUGAAGUCUGGAGAUGCUGGCUAAUUACUCUAAAGAGCAGAUGAUAGGAGAAAAAUAACGGAAAUAUUAAGGGGGGAAUGAAAAGUAGGGCAGGUUUGGAGAGCAGUCGUUGGUGGAGUAGGGCAGGUAACUGACUCUGAGAGCUGCCUUUGUGCAUCUUGGAGUCUGAGAAAGAGCGAAUGCCUGGUAAGAGAAUAUUUUUCUGGACGUGAGAAGAGUAAUUCUUAAGUUGACGUUUUUCCUUAUCAAACUGUAGUAAACAUUUAAAUUGCUUUUUAUUUACUUUUGGUUGCUAGGAUGAAUUUAUUUAAAUAUGAAAAUGAGCUGAAAUGGGGUGUUAAGGUGGGAUCCAAAAGGUCUGUCUUUAUAAAGGCAGUUACAGGGAAUAUUUAACGAGAAGCAGAGAUCCUGGGUUAAGGUGAAAGAGAGUCGGAGUAUGUGAGUAUCCUGGAAAUAAAGGCUUACUGGGAUGAUCUAGUGAAUGUUAUUUUUGCCUUCCCAUUCGCCUUCUCAGAACAACAAUCUCCUUCUUGUAGGAAUUGCUCCUCUCCUGCUCCAUGCGGUUCUGGGGAGCUGCCAAUCACAGGACAUAGCCCUGUGGCCACAGGAAUGGGCACACAUUCCAGUAGGCCUGGUCAAUCAUAGUUGCCCAUUUCCAUGGCUUCAAAGAUGGGCACAUGACCCAGUUCAGGCCAGUCAGACUCCUUCCCUGAAAUUUUAUAUAACAAAAUGAUGGAAUAGAGAGGCUCUGGUGUGACUAAGCAGGGAUGAUGCUAGCCUGUCAUCUGGAUUCACGCUUCUUUUAUCAUUCCAUCCCUCAACCUGGCCACUAGGAAGAAGCCAAUCUGUAGAAAAGAAGGUGGACAUCAGUAGAAUCUGAGAUGGGAGAUGGAGGGAGAUGGUAAAACGUAGUCACACUGUCUAAGUUACUGGGCUCCCCAAGGCCAGCUUACCUCUGCACUUCUCCACUAUUUGAGCCAGACAUUCCAGUUUAGCUUAACUAAUUUUAGUUUCUGUCAUUUGUAACCAAAGGAGUCCCAAUGAUUUAUCCAGCAAUGUGCUGAGUGCCUUGAGGAGAGAAAGUGUAGAUGGCUGUCAUGAGGGAGAAAGGCCGUGAAGGUGGAGAGAGAACGUGUUACUGUAAACUUUCUCUUGAGCUCUAUUUGCUUGGAGCAGAACCUGAUGGGGACCUGAUGGUGUGAGGAGGGAGUGGGAGUCGUAAAGUGAGUGAGAAUUGAGAAAUUAAUUUCCUCUCUUUGCCUUGAAUCGGCUGCCCUUCUGAGGUGAUAAGGCAAGAUGAGCUGGGUUCCUUGGAUGAUUCUUGGGAGGAUCCAGUAAAAUGGCAUAUGUGGAAAAGCCACAAAUCAUUCUAUACACAUUAACUCUCAUGUCCAGUCAUCAAGGAAACGUGUUUCAUUCUGAGAUGAAGAUGGAUGCUCACUGUACAAAUAAAGCAUGUGAGAGGUAAACGGGCACUGUUGGAUACAUGCAUCGUUGGAAGAAAAUAAGACGGUGGCCAUGUCAUUCUGACCCGACUUUCCCUUCUUUGACUUGAUACUCCACCUUCAGAAACAGGGACCUUUGUUCUUAAAUACAGGAAGUUGUAAAAUCUCCAAAAGCAAAUUUCCUUAGUUCUUAGGCAAUACUAUAAGUGAUGGUAUUCUACUGAGUCAACGCCUUGAACAUGAAUCAGGAGAUUAACUUUUGUAGCAAACUGUCAAUCUUUACCCCGAAAUUAUGGGAAAGUCUCCAUGGCUCAGCUCUUCCAGCAACGCUGCUCACUGUGGUGAUAUCUAUGAGUUAACUUCACCAUCCUUGCAGAGAAUGGUAAAAAAGAGAUUGGUGUCUCCUUGAAAAAGAACUCAGACUCUUCUACCAAGUGUCAUAAUAGAAGAUGAUAACCAACAAAAGAGUGAGCCUUUUGGCAGUGAAGGUGACUUUAAACCUAAACUGUUCCAUUGUAUUUCUUGUUGGUUGGCUCUAUUCCUUUCCAGCUGCCAUGUUGUGAGGACCUUCAAGCAACUCUGUGAAGAAUUGACAUGGUGAGGCUUCCUGCCAGCAGCUGGCACCACCUUGCCAGUCAUCUGAGUGAGCCAUCUUGGAAGUGGAUCCUCCAGCCUCAGUCAUGCCUUCAACUGACUCCAACCUCAUGAGGUGCCCUGAGCCAGAACCACACAGCUAAACUUCUCUUCAUUUCCUGACCUAUAGAAAGUACAAGAGAAAACAAAUUUUUGUUGUUUUAAGCUGAUGACUUUGUGGAUAACUUGUUCUGCAGCAAUAGAUAACUAAUGCGUAAUGUUUGAAAGGUAAUCCUAGGAAGUUAAACGAGGGAGUGAGGAAAAUGAGUCAAGGAAGAAGGUAAAGUCAAUAAAGGGUAUGUUAGUGUGGACAACUGGGCUCAAUCUCAUUGGAGAGAUAUUGAGGAUUGUUUAAGAUGUGCCUGAAAACUGAGGCACCAAGGCAUGGAGAAGCUUAUAUAUUUUCCCACCAGCUCUCAUGCCUCAUUGGAUGAAGGUUGCCCAUGGGGAUAUUAAAUCCUCAAUGCUUUCAGGCUUGCCCUUGGGAUAGGAAAGGAUCAGAGAAAAUUCUCAGAGAAGCAGAAAGCUACAGGUGGUUAAAAUGAGAGGCUGUCAGCAUGUAAAAGAACUGUCCACUGAGGCCACAGAUGUACUCGGGGUGGAUUGAGUAGAUUACGGGGUGGAUUAUAGAGUGGGACUUCAAUAGCGUCUGCCACAUAGCUUCACAGUCUUUUUCAUUGCCAUGCUUUGAGCAGCCACUCCCAAUCAAUUAGUGUUGGGAUUUGAGAUAAAAUCCAUCUGACUUCUCUAGUUUAGAAUAUACUCCCCACUCUUUGUUCUGUCCCCUCCACUCAACACCACUUUCCACCUGGUGAAUUCUUACUUAACUCUCAAAGGUCAAAGGCUACCUACCCAGUGACCCUUCACGAAUAAUGUCCCCUUUGCCUGGCUAAAUUAGCUUCCCUCUCUUUGCUGAUGUCUUGCUCUCAGUAGUCACACGGACUGAAAUCAUUUAUGUGUUUACCUCCCUGACUCGCCCGCUGGGGAACUUUUGCUCGUCUCUGUAUUCCUAACGUCUGGCACAUAUUAGGCCCUCAAAAAAUAUGAGCUAAAAGAACAAGACUUGAAGACUUGAGAUAAAGGUACAAGUCUCCUUGGUGUUCCACAGUAUUGCCCCUGAGUUCAUUCUCCCUGCAGAGGUACUCACAGACAUCUUUCACUGUGGGUAAAAGAAACAUGUUUACACACUUUUGCAUUACUUGGAUUACUCUGGAUAGAAGGAGUAAUCCAAGUGAGAAUAAAGAUUCUGCCAAACUGGUUUUGGGAAAAUAUAAUUUUAAGCCUCAGGCCACCCAAUACUUCAAUUUACUUACCAUGUGUAUUUUUUAACCUAUAUUCUACUGACUUGAUAAAGUUUUUUACUUUAAAAAAAUAGAUUCUCCAUAGCAAAGUCAUGGAAUGGUUAUGUUGCCAUGUUAAGUGUGGCAUGAGGUUUGGUUCUCAUUAUUAAACUUUGAAGGAUGAUGUGUAUAUGGGGGGGAAGGGGGGAAGUGACCAGCACUAUUUCAAAGCUGGCAUUGUUUCUAAAGGUCCCUGGAGAAUGUUACUAUCCCCAAACAUUAACAGAUGUCAGUCUCCUGUCCUGGUUUGACCCGAGGCCCUUACCCAUGGUUCGCUUGCGUAGCACUUUAGCCCGUGUGGAUUUCGGAUUUCGUCAUCUUUCCCUUCAGGGUAGGACAAGCAAAGAGAAGAGAAGUGAGUUUCAUUUUGGCUCAUUUUCUUUUGUUUUUAUCUCAUCAG